AGUUGGCCGAGUGGUCUAAGGCGGUAGAAUCAGGAUCUAUUCUUAAUUGGCGUGGGUUCAAAUCCCACACUG
rnacentral:ncRNA from 15 species